rnacentral:rRNA from 1 species
GACGAACGCUGGCGGCGUGCUUAACACAUGCAAGUCGAACGGGCCCGCCCCUGUUUUUGGGGGUGGGUUGAGUGGCGAACGGGUGAGUAUCACGUGAGUAACCUGCCCCCUGCUCCUGGAUAACUGCUUGAAAGGGCGGCUAAUACGGGGUGUGCCGGCUGGUCCGCAUGGGCCUGGUCGGGAUAGUUUCAUCUUCGGGUGUUUCGGUGGGGGAUGGGCUCGCGGCCUAUCAGCUUGUUGGUGGGGUGAUGGCCCACCAAGGCGGUGACGGGUAGCCGGCCUGAGAGGGUGGGCGGCCAAGCUGGGACUGGGCCACGGCCCAGACUCCUGCGGGAGGCAGCAGUGGGGGGUAUUGCACAAUGGGCGGAAGGCUGAUGCAGCGACGGCGCGUGAGGGAUGGAGGCCGUCGGGUUGGGAACCUCUUUCUCCGGUGGUGAAGGCCCUGUCCGUUGCGGCGGGGUUGACGGUAGCCGGGUAUGAAGCGCCGGCUAACUACGUG